rnacentral:rRNA from 1 species
AACGAACGCUGGCGGCAUGCCUUACACAUGCAAGUCGAACGGCAGCAUGACCUAGCUUGCUAGGUUGAUGGCGAGUGGCGAACGGGUGAGUAAUGCAUCGGAACGUGCCUUUUAGUGGGGGAUAACGUAGCGAAAGUUACGCUAAUACCGCAUAUUCUCUGAGGAGGAAAGCAGGGGACCUUCGGGCCUUGCGCUAGAAGAGCGGCCGAUGUCGGAUUAGCUAGUUGGUGAGGUAAAGGCUCACCAAGGCAACGAUCCGUAGCGGGUCUGAGAGGAUGAUCCGCCACACUGGGACUGAGACACGGCCCAGACUCCUACGGGAGGCAGCAGUGGGGAAUUUUGGACAAUGGGCGCAAGCCUGAUCCAGCCAUGCCGCGUGAGUGAAGAAGGCCUUCGGGUUGUAAAGCUCUUUCGGCUGGGAAGAAAUCGCACCCUCUAAUACAGGGUGUGGAUGACGGUACCAGCAUAAGAAGCACCGGCUAACUACGUG